ACACGACUACAUUAGAUACCCCCGUAGUCCUAGCCGUAAACGAUACUCGCUAGGUGUCGGCCACGGUGCGACCGUUGUCGGUGCCGUAGGGAAGCCGUGAAGCGAGCCACCUGGGAAGUACGGCCGCAAGGCUGAAACUUAAAGGAAUUGGCGGGGGAGCACAACAACGGGUGGAGCUUGCGGUUUAAUUGGAUUCAACGCCGGAGAUCUUACCGGGACCGACAGCAACAUGAAGGCCAAGCUGAAGACUUUGCCGGAUUAGCUG
rnacentral:rRNA from 1 species